rnacentral:rRNA from 1 species
GAUGAACGCUGGCGGCGUGCCUAAUACAUGCAAGUCGAGCGAACAGACGAGGAGCUUGCUCCUUUGACGUUAGCGGCGGACGGGUGAGUAACACGUAGGUAACCUACCUAUAAGACUGGGAUAACUUCGGGAAACCGGAGCUCAUACCGGAUAAUAUUUCGAACCGCAUGGUUCGAUAGUGAACGAUGGCUUUGCUAUCACUUAUAGAUGGACCUGCGCCGGAUUAGCUAGUUGGUAAGGUAACGGCUUACCAAGGCAACGAUACGUAGCCGACCUGAGAGGGUGAUCGGCCACACUGGAACUGAGACACGGUCCAGACUCCUACGGGAGGCAGCAGUAGGGAAUCUUCCGCAAUGGGCGAAAGCCUGACGGAGCAACGCCGCGUGAGUGAUGAAGGUCUUCGGAUCGUAAAACUCUGUUAUUAGGGAAGAACAAACGUGUAAGUAACUGUGCACGUCUUGACGGUACCUAAUCAGAAAGCCACGGCUAACUACGUG